AUAUAUAUAUAUAUAUAUACUAUGUAAUUAAGUUUUUUUGAGACAAAACAAGUUCAGUUAUGCUGAGUGCUCUGUUUUCAUGGGAUUCUACUAAAUUAACACCAUUUCUUUUGUCAUAGCUGAUCAGUCAAUUGAUAAAAAGGCCAUAGUAUUUUUUAAUUAAUUGGAAAAGAAAGAAGAAGGAAGACAUCAGUUUGAUACUCAUACCGAUAUUAUGAAGUGAAGGAAAAGCAACCCUUGAACUAGAGGCCCUAAAGUGACCUCCAAUGACAUAAGGAAAUAGACAUUAUUGUUUUGAUAAUUUUUAUUACCACACAUAAUCUACUUUGGUCUUUGUGACAAAGAAACUUGGUCUAUCCCUACUUGAACCUCAUAUGUCUCUUCCUGGUCGACUCAAAAUAAACAAGUCUCCCCAAAUAAGAAUGUCAGAGUGUUAAUUUAAAAUGCAAUUAUAGCAGGAAUUGGAACAUUUUGCUUACACAAUUCAUUCAUCCACCUAUUCAUUUAUUUAUUGAAUAUUUAUUAAGUUCCAGCUACGUGACAGACACUACUUUGCCUCUGGGAAUAUAGCAGUAUUGUGAAAAAUAAAUAAAUUCCCUGCUCCUUUGAUGUUGAUGUUCUUGCAAAAAGAAGGAAACAGUAUAGAAAGUAAAGGUUAUACAUUAAGUGGUGCUAAGGGUUAUAAAGAAAAACAAAUCAGAUGAGGCAUUAGGACAUGAUGAGAAGAAGAAGAUGCCUCUUAGAAAAAGAGUCAGGAAUUCUUGAUUCUUUAAGCAGAGACUGAAGUGAGGGAAUUUAGUCAUGUGUUGUCUCUGAAAACAAGUAUGAAGAACCCAAGGGAGAACCAUUUUUUACCAUUUCAAGACACACCAGGAAAAAAAAAUGACAGAAUGACACAGAGACUCAGUAGUAGAAGAUGAAGUCAGGGCUGAGUGGUGAGAGGGGGAGGUAUCCAGAAAACAUGAGGUCUUGAAGGUUCUGGAAGAAUUUUAGAGUUUUUUUUUUUUUUUAGAAAGAAAUUUAUGUCUGGUUAGAAGAGGUCUUACAAACUGACAUACUUUUAAAUUUAUUUUUUAAAACCAUGGUAAAACACAUAAAAUUUACCAUCCUACCCAUUUUUAUGUGUAUAGUUUGGUAAUGUUAAGCACAUUCCCAUUUUGUGCAACCAAUUUCCAGAACUUUCUAUAGUGCAGUUAUGAAAUUCUAGACCCAUUAAACAAUAGCUCUCCAUUUCUCCCUCUCCCCCCUCCCCCGCCGGGCCCCUGGAAACCACUUUAUCCUACUUUCAUUCUCUCUUCUUUUCUUAUUUUAAUAGAACUGGCCAAUGACCAGGCUAACUUUUUCAAAAUAUAAAGUCUUUAAAGGAAUAUAAAUAUAGUAAGAAUAUAUAUAUGGAACUUUUCAAUAAGAUGCAUGAAAACUCUAUUGUUUCAGGAUUUGGAAUAGAGGCUUCACUGUUACCUGUCUACUUUCUAUGUGUAUGAAUUUGACUACUCUAGAUAUUUCAUGUAAGUGGAAUCACAUGGCAUUUGUCUUUUUGUGAUUGGCUUAUUUCACUAGCUUAAUAUCCUCAAGGUUCCUCCAUAUUAUAAUACAUCAGAAUUUCCUUCCUUUUUAAGGUUGAAUAAUGUUCCUUUGUAAGUAUAUGCAUUUGGACAAGAAGCUUCCCCAUCCUGUUUAUGUCUACUAUGAAUUUAUUGCUAAUAUGAAUGUGGGUGUACACAUAUCUCUUCACAACUCUGUUUUAUUUUUUUUAUGUAUACCUAGAAGUGGAAUUGCUGGAUCUGAUCUGACAUAUUUUGAAAGAAUCACUCUAGUGCUAUUUGUGAGGAAGACAAGAUAAGAGCAGAGAGAAGGUGAAAGCAGGGAGACCAUGGGUAGGGCUUCUGAGAACAUCUAAGAGAGGGCUGGUGGAGUCAUGGGAUAACAUCUUAUUGGUGCAGGUGGUGAUAAAAUGGUCAUAUUUUGGUAGAGCUAACUGUACAUGUUUCUGAAUUAGAAGUGGAGUCUGAAAGAAAGAGGAACUCUUGAUGACUUUAGGAGUCAGUUCUUUCUUGGUGACUUCUAGGAGAAGGCAGGAAAAAGGAGGAUACUGAGAGAGAUUCAUUUUUGUGGUUGAGGGUAAUCAAGAAUUUGACACUGAUGUGGACAUAUCAAGUGGUCAUUUGUAAUUUUUUUUUAUAAUUUAGAGCCUAAAGGUAUAAAUUCGAAAUUGCCUUGGGUAUAUAGAUAGUAUUUUAAGCCACAAGACUGGAUGAAAUUCCCUAGUGAGUGAAUACAGAUGGAGAAAAGAGUUUCAGAGACUCAGCCCAGGGCUAUCUGACAUUUAGGGUUGAGAAGAGAAUAAUAGUCUGGCACAGGGAUGAGAGAAGAAAGGUUUGGGGAGAAGGAGAGACAAGGUAAGUGGGGUGUCUAGAAAGCCAUUGAAGAAAGUACAUUAUAAUAAGUAGUGCCCAAAUGUUUCAAAAGCUGCUGACAUCAAAGGUAGUAAAUAGAAGGAAAAUAGAAAUUGUGUUAGGUAUCAGAAAGCAAGUUAACUAAACUUAAUUAAACACUAAAAAUUUAGUUACCAACUAUUACCUAUAAGGCUGGAAAUGAUAAAAGAAUUUGACAUUCCAUGAUUAGAGAAGUUGUGGGGAAAUAAAUGCUGAUAUAUUUCUGGCAGGAAUAAAAACUGUUAUAAAUUCUGUGGAGAAAAACUGCACAAUAGCUACAAAAAUAAUUUUUCUUAUUAUAUUAUCAUAGCGUCAUUAUUAUUGUAUGUUAAUAAUAAUUGGUAGUGAUUAUUAUUUAAUGCUUUAGGAAAAAUAGAGAAAAUAUAUAAAGUGGCUAAUUUUGAAUGCAAUAAAACAAAGCAGAACGAAUGUACCACCACCUCCAUCAUCAACAACAACAAUAAAAUCAGAGAAAGCUACUAUAUUUAAAGACCUAGAAAGUUAAGAACAAAAUAUAAUAUGUGAACCUUGUCUGGAUACUCUAUAAUAAAUCAAUCAUGCAAACAUUUUGUAGACAAUAGGGUUACAUAGAUAAUUACUUUAUUCUAUUGUCAAUUUUGUUAGUGUUUGUUCCAUUAGAUGCGAAAACCUGAUGUCUCUCAGGGUAAUGGCAGGAAAAUGAUCAUGCAUUUUAGAAACAUAUAUGAAUGUAGGUAGUGAUGAAAUGUUAUGAUGUUGAGGAUUUGCUUUAAAAUAUCUCAGGCUAUGAAUAUUUCAAUAAAGAAAAUAUGGAAAAUGUGACAAAAUUUUAAUGGUUGUAUCUGAAGAAUAGGUGAGGAGUCUGAUAGGAACAUAAGGAUUUAGCACAAUGCCUUCCAGAUUCAUCCAUGUUGUCCCAUAAGGCAGGAUUCCAUCUUUUUUUUUUUUUUACUAUUUCAUUAUAUGUAUGUGCUCCAUAAUUUCUUUAUUUGUUCAUUCUAAGUGAUUAUAUGGGCUGUUUCUAUGUCUUGUCAAUAUGGUGAAUAAUGCUAUAACAAGCAUGGAAGGGCAGAAGUCUCUUCAAAUCCCUGGUUUCAAUCAUUUUGAAUAUAUACUGGAUCCCUGGAUAGUUCUAUCUUUUAAAUUUUGUGGGGAUCUCUUGUUUUCCAAAAUGGCAGGCUAUUUUAAUCCCUAUCAGCAAUCUAGAAAUCACAGAAGGACAAAUACUGCAUGAUUCCACUGAAAUAUUCAAAUUCAUAGAAACAGAAAGUGAAUGGUGAGUGCCUGGGGCAGGAGGCAAAAGGAAGUGGGGAUUUCAAUGGCUAUAAAAUUUCAGUUACAAAAGAUGGAUUAAAAAAAAAGACAGCAUUGUGACUGUAGUUGACAAUAUAUCACACUUAAAAAGUUAAGUGGUAGAUUCCUUGUUAAGUGUUUUUACUACCAUAAUAAAGAAUAAGAAUAAGUAAGGAAUAUACAUGGGGGUUCAUUCUAUCAUUCUUUCUAGUUUUGCAUAUGUUUGAAAAAUUAGUAAUAUUUUUAAAGCUAUUGAUAUCAAGUAAUAAGUUUAUUGACAUUUUAGUGGUCAUCUUUUCAAGAAAUGUUUUCAGUGAAUAGACUGGGAUAAAACCCUGGUUGGAAUAAUUUCAAAAGAAAGUAUGUAAAGAGGAAUUAUCAGGAGAGACACCAGAGGAGUCUUUGGGAAAAUUGAUGUAGACAGAAGCAAAGAAGGGACAAAUGUAAUGAAGGGAUAUAAAAAAGUCUGUUUUCAUAAAUCGGUGAUUUGAGAUAUUUCAGUAUAUUUUAAUAGAUACUGACAAUUCUCACCCCAAAAGAAAGUACAAUUAGAACAAUUAGAAUUUUGUUUUGUUUUGUUUUUGCUAAGCUGGGGAUCAGGAUAACUGGAGUUUGUCAAACUAAACAACAACAACAACAACAAAACCAACAACAAACUCUUCGCAUUUGAUUUAUUAUAAAUAAUGUUCAAUCAGUGGGACACGCCUGGAGUCUUUGGUAGAAUGCUUUCACUCCUACUAAAUAAAUGGCUAUACCAAUGUCUGUAACUCCAUUUUUACCUCUAGUUUUCCAUAGGUUGUCAAAACUCUUUCUGGUUAACACAUCUCCUCUUAAAAUUUGAAAAUACAUUCAAUAUCAUCCCAUCUUGACCCUGGGAGUAAUUGUUUCAUAGGGAAUCUUUGUAUAACUGCUUUCUAAGCCAUUGUGAACUAACCUCAAAUUUUACCUUAAAACAAUCAAAUUAAGUUCUUUAAAAAUAAUGCCAGUUAUUUUAUCCUUUAUGUACAAAUUAUGCAGUGUGUGGAAUUUGGGAAGAAACUUGAUGAAGCAACUACUUUAAAUGAGCAGAAAAUAGCCAGGCAUGGUGGUGCCUAAGUGUGAUCCAGAGAUUUGGGAGGCAGGAGGAUUGCAAAUUUGAAACCAGCCUCAGCAAUUUAGCAAGGCCCUACAUUACUUAAUGAAAACUUGUCUCAAAAUAAAAAUUAAAAAGAGCUGGGAAUUACAGCUGGGAAUUUAGCUCAGUGCUAAAGUACUCCUGGGUUCAAACCUCAGCCUCCCCUCCCCACAAAGAGCAGAAAUUAAAACUACCUGAACAUUAAUUUUAUUAACUUGUUGAACAUAGCUAAUAUUUAAACUUGCAUUAAAUAAUAUUUUAAUUAUAAUAUUGAUGUUUUUGAUGAUAUUAUCUUGUCAAGAAAAUAUCAGCUAGAAUAAGUUUAGUGAUUUCAAGUGUUUUUGUUAGGUGGUUAUAAAAAUAUUAUGUAAAUGUAAUCUUCCUGAAACUCCAAAAUUUAAUAAAAUGUUUCAUAUUGUAUUGAUAAAAUAAGUAAAGAAGUAAUGCAUCUAUCCAGAUUGAACAAUGUAGAAAAAGAUUUUUAAGAAUCUGGGUCACAAAUAACUGUUUAUUUCUGAAUAUAUUAAUUGUUUUUCCCCUCCCCCCAAAAAAUUAUAACUGUGAAAAUACAGUGGCUUCCUAUACUUGUUCUUGUAACACUUCUCUUAUUAAUAGGUACUUUCAUACUUUAUUUUAAAGCAGAUUUUUUUUUUUAAAAUAAGGAACUCUCUUCUAAAAUGACCUCAGUUAAAACUAAUGUUCGUUUUGAAUGAGAUCCUCAGUUUCAAUUAGGGAAAAAAAGUCAAAUUGAAACAAUAUUUCCUAAAGUGUCAAUAUCUCCAUUGAAAAUAGUGUAUGGUAUUUUAAUUUAGUCCUUUAAAGAACAGUUGAUAGAACUGUAUUAGGAUUUAUUAUAGCAUAAGUGAUUUAUGUUCUGAGAUCACAUAUUCACAGUUGUAUGACAAAAUUUUCCAAAGUUUGUCUUAAUAUUGUGUGUGUGUGUGUGUGUGUGUGUGUGUGGGUGUAUGAUCAAACCUCCAGGGAUAAUAUCACACCUAAAUUGAAAAGGUGCUAUUUUUCACAACUUGGGUGGAGGUGAAGAUGUUGCACUCUUAAAAAGGUGUUAGAAAGCUUGAAAAAUUGCCCUUAUUUUGACAAAGCUUCUGACAUUAAUGAUUCACUGGGGAAGACUGACUAUAAUUUUUAAUUAAAUGUAGCAAUGGGAAAAAGCAACAUAAUGAAUAUGUUCUAUAAAAUUUGAAUAAUGGUAACAAUAGUAAACAAUUAGUGUAAAAGCUAAUAUUUAAUUUUUCUCCUCAAAAUUUUCACCUCUCAGUAUCCUCAUUGUCUCAGGAAUUAUUAGCUCCAUUUUUUUUUAUAUUACUCAUGUCCUGGAUCUGGAGAUGGUCUUUAAUUUUCACUUUCCUUCUCACCUUAGAUUCAACCAUAACAAUAUCCUUGAUUGCAUUUUCAAAAUAUAUUGGAAUUCUAUCACUUCUCACCACAAUUCUCUCAAGCAAGUCUAAGCCUUCCAUCAAAUCUUUCCUAGAUUAUUGCAGUGGGUUCCCAACUAGUCUCCUUUCCAAAUAAUUUAAUGCAACACAGUGGGCAAGAUGAUCCUUCGAAACCAAAGUCAGAUCAUGAUAAUUAUCUGCUGGAAAUAAUCUAUAAUCUCUCUCAGAGAAAACCCAAAGCACUUUAAAAGGCCCACAAAGCCCCUUAUGACCCAGUGUAUCUCUGAUCCAUGUGCUCCACUGGCUGCCACUCUUGGCUUCAUGGCAUGAGAUACUGAAAGAAAAUGUCCUUUCUCUAUGUACUGACAAGUACGAUUCCACAUGUAGUUUUUGUGCUUGCUUUUAUCUCUGUUUUAUUACUAGAAAAAUAUUCUCUGGUAAUCUUAUAUUAAAGAAGUAUCUUGCACAUUUCAUGCUUCAGACUUUGGGACUAGCCAGUUGUUCAAGCAUCCCUGGUUCAUUUUCCCAAGAGAUAAUAUUUGGAGAAUAAUGUCACAGUUUGGGCAAAUUAAUGUCAUUCCUAAUAGUGAGCAAUGCUAGAAAUGAUAUGUGUGUAUGUGGGAAAUGUGUGUGUACUAUCAUCUAUAUCUAUCCAUCUACUUUUCUAUCUCUAUAAUCUAUCUCCAUAAACCUAGACAUGGAUAUAAAAAGAAUAAAUACAAAUACAGAUAUAUAAAAAUGAAAAGUCUUGAUUUUAUAAGGCAUUCCUACUCAUAUCCACUAAAUAGGUUUUUAAUUAAUGUAUAUAUUUUAAUUAGGUAUAUAUGACAGCAGAAUGCAUUUUGAUUCAUUGUACACAAUUGCAGCACAGCUUUUCAUUUCUCUGGCUGUACACGAUGUCUGUACUGGCGUCACACCGUAUGUGCAGUCAUACAUGUACUUAGGGUAAUGAUGUCUAUCUCAUUCCACCAUCUUUCCUGUCCCCAUGCACCCUCCCCUCCCCUCCCCUUUUGACAAUCAAAGUUCUUCCAUUUUUCCCAUGCCUCUCCCCUCCCCAUUAUGGAUCAGCAUCCAUUUAUUAUAGAAAACGUUCAGCCUUUUGUUUUGGGGAUUGUCUUAGCAUGAUCACACCCACUAAAUCUUAUUCUCUUCUUCUGUACAUGUGUACCCCCUUUCUCCCACAAUUAACAUUCUGAAUUGUAAGGAUACCAAGGAUUAUAAAAUUAGAAGUAUCUUUUUUUCUUACAUUUCUUUACAAUAAUAUCAUUUUGUAAACACUCUACCCAUUCUCUCCUACUGCAAGACUGUCAGAACAUGCAGUCCAUUCAAAUUGUGCUUUCUCCUUUAUAUCCUCCAUUAAUUUUGAUUCUGUAGAUAAAUCACUAAAUCUGUAUUGCCCACCACUAGUCUUCAUAUCAGUCUUGCCAGUUGUUUUGGUUAUCUGAAGUACAUUUUUAGUAGAGUUUAGGGAAAUACUCAUUGGAACAUCGUUCCUUGGGAUCUUGCAUACUGAUGACAAAUUUUCUGCAAUUUUUUUUUUUUUAUAUUGGGGAUUGAAUCCAGGGGCACUUAACCACUGAGCUACAUCACCAGGCCUUUUUAUUUUUUAUUUUAACUAAGUUGUUUAGGGCCUCACUAAGUUGCUGAGGCUGGCUUUGAACUCAUGGUCCUCCUGCUUCAGCCUCCUGAGUUGCUGGGAUUAAGGAUUUGGACUUCCAUGCCUGGCUUUUCUGGAAAACUUGAUGCUUGUUUGCAAGUAAUUCUGAAGAGGUAUAAAUCCUAAUUGUUACAUUCUUCAUUUCCUUUCUCUUUUGUAUUUUUCUUUUCUACUUUCUGUAGAACACUGCCAAUUUGCUGUUUUUAGUCUUUAUUUCAGAAACAAUUACUUUUAAAAAUUUGUAAUUUUGUUCUGAUUUCUGUGACCUUAUUUUUGCAUUAUCCUGUCCUUUCUUGUUUUGAAUGACUCUUCCUUUGCCUUUGGUACUGUUUUGAUGUAUUAGUAUUUUGUGAACAUUUCUUCUGAUCUAUUUUCACUCCCUGUAUUAAUGUUGGCAAUUUUGUUUCUUAGUCUCUCGUUCUAAUAAUUUUUAUGAUAACCAUUUAUAUUUGAUUUUACUUUUGUGACUUAAUUUCAUUGAACUUUAAAAUAGAAUUUCCAGCAUCAUGGAUCUAAAUUUUUCUCUGGUUUAGUUUUUGUGACAAGUUAAAGAAUGUAAUGAUUUAAUUUCUGAAAACUCUUGGUUAUUUGUCUUCCUCAAUUUUAUCCAACCUCCUUUUUUCAUUUUUUUUUUUGCCUUUAUUGUUGCUAUUUUAUUUGAGUUCUACUCAUAAAAAUGUCUCUUCAGUCAUGGAGAAGACAUGAGAAUAGCCUAGGAUGCAUGGUACUCCACCCCUUGGGACCUUAUCCCAGACCCUAUAUGCACAUCCACUAGUAGUACAUGUAUCUUUUCAUUUGUAACUUAUAUGUUUUCAAAAUACUUUGUAGAUACUUUAAGGAACUGUUGGUUAUUUUGGAGAUCAAAAAUUUAAUAGACUCCCCUUUCCUUACUUCUCUACUCAUGCCAAGAUGCCAUCAGAGGUGUGGCCCAACCUGCUUGCCUUUUGGUAUUUAUGAGGAUUUCUUGUCAAUUUUUUUUUCUGUAAGUAUUGUCUAUGUCUUUCUAUUUUACUAUCCUACCUGCUUUGUAUGUCUUGUUACCCCUCUUUCCAGAAUCCCCCUCUCAUUUUAAUAUCCUGAAUUGACUUCACAUGAUACACAAAAUCUGAGAAUAAAAAAUCUGUAAAAAAAUAAGAUGCUUUGUUUGAAAGUUGUCAGAUUAUAAUUGUGAGCGUCUUGUUUAUUCAUUGAUUUUAAAAAUCAUAUUACAUCAUUAGGCUAAAUAUUAAAUAAAGUUUCCCUCUUAUAUGAAAGACAAACCUAAAAUAAUGUAGAGCUUCUACUAAUGUACAGCUAAUGGCCCUUUUCUGCCCCUUUUCUUGCACCUUCCCUAGUUAGAAGAGAGAUGGAUUUGUUGCUGAGUUUGUAAGAAAAAUAGUUCUUGUGGAUUGCUUUUAUGUGCUCCCUCCUACUUAUGAAAAAACUCUGAUCUGAGAUUCAUCCUUUGAGUUUUAUAGGGACAUGCCCUCAAAUGAGGGGGAUGAUAGUCCAGUUUUUUGUUUUUUUUUUAAAUUGAUAUUUUUUGAAAAAAUAAAUGACAGCGGAAUGCAUUACAAUUCUUAUUACACUUAUACAGCACAUUUUUUCAUAUCUCUGGUAGUAUAUAAAGUAUGUUGACACCAAUUCGCGUCUUCAUACAUGUACUUUGGAUAAUGAUGUCUAUCACAUUCCAACAUCCUUGCUAAUCCCCUGCCUUCUCCCUUUCCCUCCCACCCCUCUGCCCUACCUAGGAUUCAUCUAUUCCUCCUAUACUCCCCCUCCCUUCCCCACUAUGAGUCAGCCUCCUUAUAUCAGAAAAAACAUUCGGCAUUUGUUUUUUGGGGAUUGGCUAACUUCACUUAGCAUUAUCUUCUUUAACGCCAUCCAUUUACCUGCAAACGCCAUGAUUUUAUUCUCUUUUAUUGCUGAGUAAAAUUCCAUUGUGUACAAAAGACUUAAAAACAGCAUACUACAGGGACACAGCCACAUCAAUGUUUAUAGCAGCACAAUUCACAAUAGCUAAACUGUGAAGCCAGCCUAGAUGCCCUUCAGUGGAUGAAUGGAUAAAAAUAAUGUGGCAUAUAUACACAAUGGAAUUUUACCCAGUUGUUAUUAAUGGCCAGAAGACCAGCUACUGGCCCAAUUUCAAUGUGUGACCUCACCACAGGCAAUUCUGAAGACUCUACCUGGUAGAACUCAGGUGAUUCCCACAAUCUGGUGCACAAAUCAGUGCAUUAAAAGGAGUUUCAGUCAAGGAACCAGCACCUUCCUGCUAUAUCUCCUUCUUCUCCACUGGCUAUGAUCUUAGACAUAUCUGCCCUCCUAGAAUGGGCACCUUCAUAGUAAGGCUUCCUCAAACAUCAGCUAAGUGAAAUAAGCCACACCCUCUAAUGCUUUCUCUCAUAUUCAAAAGCUAGACCAAAAUGAGGAGAGAGAGAGAGAGAGAGAGAAGAGGAAAGGAAAAAAAGAAAGGUGGGGGCAGGAAUUCAAUGAAAAUAGAAGAGAUCAGUGCAGUAGAGAAAGCAGACUGAAAGGGAAGGAGAAGGGAUGGGAAAAGAGAGAAAUGGUAUAAUGAACCUAGCCAACCUUUCUUAUGUACCUAUAUGGAUACUAUGAAUUUUACCUUCAUGUAUAUCUAUAAUGCACUGAUUUAAGACAUAUAUGAACAAGUAGAAGAAAGAUAAGUAAAGUAUGGAGAAGGAUAGGGGAAGGGUAGUACUGGGGACUGAAUUAGAGCACAUUUUUUGCCAUGCUUGUAUAAUUGUAUUGAUGAACCCCAAUGUUAUGCAUAUCUAAAAUGAAUUAAGUAAAAUAAAUAAAUAAAUAAAUACAUACAUACAAGCAAGCUUCAUCAUUAGGCCCAGGCCUCUUUAGGUCCUCUGUUGAGACCGCUUUAGAGGGGCUGUGAGGUGUGGGGACUUGAAGACAUUUUUCUCCACUCUGAUUCAGUACUCAGUACUUUCCCAUUUGUAUCCCUUUCUCUUAUCCCUGUCCUCAUCCCUGGGUACGUACAAUGAGCUGAGCUCCUUGGGCAGAGAGAUGAUCUGUGUUUAUCCACUUGAUCCUCCCUUGGUAUGUUCCUGGUGGAAGAAUGUGACAUUCUGGGGACUGGUGUGGCUUCCUGUUCUGCCUCUUGCUUAUGCUAUCAGAGCCAGAGACUAAAGGCCUGAAUACUAACAUCAUUUUGAUUCAUCUUGAUUGACUAUUAUACCUGACAAUUCAGUCCUCUUUAGAUCAUCCCAGCUCUUGACAACUGGCUGGGUAUACAUUUUUCAAAUCCUGGGCAUUGGUGUUAGGAAGCUCACUUGCCUGCACAUAAUUCACUCCCAGUAAUAUUCUCAAUAAUUUUUCUUUUUCUGUAGUUUAGAAAGAAAGUGAUGAAAAAAAGGAGUAUUGCAUACGAACCUCCUCAAACCCCUAACAUCUCUUUGUUGGGCUGUAAUCUUGAGGAGUAAACAAAGGUGAUAUUUGGGGGACAAAAUAAUAAUUGAAUAAUAAGGUUUAUAUGGACUAGGCAUUUGUGGUUAGAAUUUUGACAGCUCAUUGCACUCUCUAUUAUGCACUGAGGCUGAUUUUUACAGUAGCAUUAAUUAACUUUUAACUGAUAUGAACUGGAAAAAUCAUUUUUGGGCUUUGAUCACUGUGAUUUUGAUUUUAUGUGUGUCAGUUUGGCUUAUGGCAGCUAUAACCACAGGUUAGGGGUUGUUCUAAUCUUAGUUAAAUUGACAUCGAGCAAUAGUCUCAGCAAAACUGAGACUCAGCAAAACUGUAGUGUGUUGAGACUUCAAGAAAGGAGUGAACAAGUAGUAUAUAAUGAUUUCAUUCCCAACAUAUUAGUAGCAGGAAGCAAUGGUACUAAUGCACAAAAGCCCAGGAAAAGGAAGGUUUUAAGAAGUGCUAGGUUAAGUAUCCCCAGGAUCCUAGGGUCACUGGAUUCUCAUGCAACAAAGCAAUAUUAUACCAGGUGAGGGUGAUUUUCAGUGAAAAGAUUGGGAAGAGAGAGACAAAAUUACCUUUAGAACUAUGUAGGGCUAAGAAAUUCCAUAGGCAGAGAAAGUGAUUUAAAGGCUGGCAUAAAAAUAAAAAUGCUCCCUGAAGAUAGUUUAACCUCUCUCACUUUUCAACACCUGUUUAUGGUGUGGAAAUGCCAUAAACACAGGGCUUAGAGGGCAAAUGUAAAUUAGGAAGUUUAUAAGGAGACGUGUUCCUCAAAUAGGACCUGACCAUUAAGUUGCAUUUGUGGCAAAUACCAGAAGUAUCAGGCAGAAGGACUACCUCAAAUGCCUCUUAUCCAGAAACAGCAGGUUGGUCUAGGUUGAUUAUUUAAAAUUCCUGGCCUCUAUUUGCUUCUUCAGUGUCUCCUAUCCUGGCAAAGACUAGAGCCCUGUUUAGAUGAUGUGUUCAGGAAAAAAAAAAAAAAAAAAAACCCUAAAUGACUGUCUACCUCAUUUCCCUUCUGAGAGGUGUUUUUAGAAGAUAUACAUUCUUUUCUACUUUCCCAAGUUUUAUGAUUAAUACAGUCUCAGUCUUCUACAUAGGGAGAACUUCCUUGAUCUAGUGCUGCUUAUGACUUGGUCAGUAGGCCAGUACUAGAGAAAACUUGUUUACCUAAAGUCUGGUUAGUGUAUCUUGCUAUCAACUUUGUCAGGAACAACUGUGGUAUGCUUUACUUUAUCUGCCUUAUUUUAUAUUAUUUUUAAAUUGAUUCUAAAUUGAAAGGUAAAAGAGGACUGCUAAAUAUUUAUCCCAUCAAAAUCCCAACCCCUACCCUUCCACACUAAUUUUAUGUUAGGCACCCUCUAUUCAUUCUGCUCCUGCUUUCUCGUCUACAUACCUUAAACUCUAGUCACCACAAGCCCCCGUAAUUCCCAAACACUCCUCAUUUUGUGUGCCUUUUUUUAAGUUAAUCAUUAGAAUAUUUUUGUCAUAGAAUAAUGACUCAUCUGUUAAUAUUCACUCAGAGACAUCUUUUUUCUCCCUCUAUUCCCAAGUCAGAAUAAUGGAUUCAUAUAUAUUCAGUACUUUGAGAGUAUAUAUUGCACUCUGCCUGAAUGGUAGUUAGUGAUAACAUACUGUCUUACCUUGGGAUGCUAUAACAAAAUGCCAUAGACUGAGUAUCUUAUACAACAGAAAUUUAUUUUCUUAUAGUUCUGGCAGCCACAAGUCCAAAAUCAGAGCAUGGAUAGGUACUGGUGAAGACUCUCUUUCUGGUUGGCAGAUGGUUGCCCUCUUGUUGUGUCUUUAUGUGAUAGAGGUGAGAGAGAAUUAGGUUGUCUUGUGUUUCUUCAUCUAAGGACACUAAUUUUAUCAGGGCAGGGCUCCACCCCCUUGACCUCAUUUAACCUUUGUUACUCCUAUAAAGGCCUAUCUCCAAAUGUAAUCACACUGAGCACUGGGGAUUCAACAUGCUCAUUUGGAGGGGACACAAUUCUGCCCAGAGCCCUGCCUUCCAUGAAAUCACAUUAUAAACUUCUCUAAUGCAGCCAGUUGUACGUGUCAGAAAUAUGUAUCUGUUUAGAAGUUAUAUCUUUCAUAACUAUACAGGAAGAAACAUCAUCAAGAUUAAAAGUGGAACUCAAACCGAAUGUGAAGAAUAAAUUACAAAAGCAAAGCCAAGAAGAAUGUUUACAGAAAAUCUCAAACUAAGAAAACAUGCAGACUGCUUCGUUUAUUGUAUAGUAGUAAGAAAAAUUUCAGGUUUUUCUAGGACUAAGAAAAUAGAGCCAAGUUUCUGGCUUAUGAGAACUUCUUGUGAAACAGGUGUGUAUUUUUUUUUGUGUGUGUGUGUGUGGCAAUAGAGAGAAAGAGAGGAUAUUUUUCACAUCACUCUUCACCACCCACAGAACUUGAAAGUCAUAGGUAUGCUCACAGGAUGGUUUUCUUCACCGAUCUUCAGCUACUUGCCUCUUUCUACAAAUGUGACUUGUCUGUUGGUUUGGGGGAGAUUCCUAUUGUCAUCAUUUGCAAUGAUUUUAUUUGUUCUAAACAAAGAAUCGUUAGCCUGCAAGUGUGCCAAUUUCCUAGAGAAGGGUUCUCUACUAGAAUUAUCUGAUAUCAGCAGCAAUGAGUAUCUUCUCAAUGUCUUGUAACACUGCUUUUCUUUUUUUUUUUCAUUUCAAAUAUAUAAUUUAUAAAUUCUGAAAAGUUUAUGCAGUUGUAUAACUACCAUUGAAAAUUUCAUUGUGCUCUUUUACAGUCAGUUUCCUCUAACCACUUGCAUUUUGCAGCCAUUUCUAUGACUUUUGCUGCCAGAGUUGAUCAUAUUCUGGAAUAUCAAAUAUGUGCAAUGUAUAGUCUAUUUUAUCAGGUGUCUUUCACUUAGCAUUCCACGUUUUACAUAUAUUUAUGCUGUUUCAUAUAUCAAUAAUUCAUUAUUGUUUUUAUUGCUAACUAGUUUUCCAUUGGAUGAUUUUAUUAUAGUUUGGUUAUUCAUGUAGAAGUUGAAUGACAUUUGGAUUAUUUCCAAGUGUAGGUAAUUAUGAGUAGAGCUAGUAUAAACUUUCACAUAUAGGUCUUUUUUUAAAUUUUUUUUAUUGGUUGUUCAAAACAUUAUAAAGCUCUUGACAUAUCAUAUUUCAUACAUUAGAUGCAAGUUGGUUAUGAACUCCCAAUUUUACCCCAAAUACAGAUUGCAGAAUCACAUCGGUUACACAUCCACAUUUUUACAUAAUGCCCUAUUAGUAACUGUUGUAUUCUGCUACCUUUCCUAUCCUCUACCAUCCCCCCUCCCUCCCCUCCCAUCUUCUCUCUCUACCCCAUCCACUGUAAUUCAUAUCUCUCCUUGUAACACUGCUUUUCAACCCUGAUUGUUCCUGUGGCUCAAAAAAUAUCAAUUUCAUAGAAGGUGGUAUCUGGAGUUUUCAUGCUUACUCUUCUAAUCAUUUUAAUCGAUUUCUGAGAUGGUAAAUUAGGCCUGCCAUCUUCCUUCUGUUAUAUUAAAAUAAGAAUUAUUAAACUGUGUUAGAAUUGUGUUAAUUAUCAGAUUUGAUUUUAUAGUUUGAGAGUAUCUGGAAGAUUGAAAACUUUCUAUUUUUGCAUUUUAUAGUCCAGACCCUGCUACAUUGCAUUCUUUAGUACCUUCUCACUGAUGAACCACCAUGGAUGAGAAGAGAGUACAAAAAAGGGAGGAGAGUAUAGUGGCAGCACCUCAAGUAGAAACUGUCAUGGCCUGAGGGAAAGCACUGCAGCACAGAUAAAAAUUAAAAUGUGUCUGGCACAUGGAAUCAGCUCAUUUACUCAAAUGAAUUUUUGUAUUUUUUUUCAAUUCAUCAACUUUCAAAAUAAAGUUGAAAUUUUCUGUUUUCUUUUUGCCUAUAGAUCACUGAGCUCUAACACUGGGGUUCCCUAUUCCAGGACAACUCCUUUGAGUAUUGUCCUUCAAAAGCAGUUGUGGAAUGUUGUUGAUGUCCCUUUCCAAAGAAUUCUUUAAAAAGCAUAUUUUUUUCCUACUGUAUUAAGAUAUGCAAAAUUCCUCUAUUGGGUUGUUUUAGCAACUGUUUUAAUUAACUGAUCAGAAAUGCCAUUUUGGGACUCCAAAGUGUCUGUAACACAUUUGCCUUUUUUGUGGGGCAUUUUUAUUUUAUUGCAGGCAGUACAGCAUGAUGCCUAACAGCACGGACUCGGAAACCAGACAUUAUUUUGUGUUCAAAUUCCUUCACACUCUAGCCACCUUUUACAUGACAUUUAACCAUUACUUGUCUUAAUGUCCUUACUAACAAAUGGGAAUAAUAAACCUAUUUUAUAGGGCUAUUUAUAUUAUUCUUACAUGCAAAUAUUAAACAAGGGUAAAAAUACAUUUUCUCAGUCCAAUUACCUUGAAAUUUAUUUUAUUGUUAGUGCUGUGAUUUUCACUUAGAGGUUAGUUUUAAAUUCAAGUUUUAGUUAACUAUAGAAAAGGCAAUCAAGGCCAUAGAGAUUUGCUGUUAGCAAUAAUGCUUUAAUUUUUUGUCCUCAAAUUCUUUGAGGGCUCUAUUCAUCCCACACAUUCUGUUUCAGCUGUGUAGCUGCAAAGAUUCUGGGGAAUGCCAGCCAUACAAGGAGACAUUUCUCCACAGAACAAAGCACUUGUACAGAAUAAUGUAGAUGGGAAGGAUGGAAUAGGUGAACCCUUAAUUAAAAAUGUAUUUCUGGGCUGGGGCUACACCUCAGCAGUAGAGCGCUUCUCUAGCACAUGUGGGGCACUGGGUUCAAUCCUUAGCACCACACAAAAAUAAAUAAAUAAAAUAAAGGUAUGGGGUCUACUACAACUAAAAAUACUUUUUAAAUGUAUUUCUGUUUUCAUGAUCAAACAUUAUUUAAAACUUUAAAGUAUUAAUCAUGAAUCCUAUUUAAAUAAUAGGUGAACCAAGCUCAGUAUUAUAGUAUUCUAAGAAAUUUACUCACAGAAAAAUUAUUUGCAUUACUAGCUAAUGAAAAAUGAGGAAUUAGUACCUGUGUUCUGAAGACAAAUAUAGAUGUUUACUUCACAAAAUUUCAUAAAUAUAUAUUUAACAUAUAUAAUAUACAUAGACACAUAUGAUUUAUGUGAACAUAUAUUAAGGCAAUCUGCCACUUAUGCUCUUCAAAUUGUAUCAUUUCUACCAAAUUUAGAUCUUAAAAAUGUGUAGAAAACUGGCAUAACACAUUUGACAGACUUUAAUAAGGUCAAAAGAUGUACUGUAAAUUUUUUAUUGAAAUAUAACACAUAUACAGAAAAGUAUAGAUGUAAAUAUAUAGUUUAAUGAAUUUUUACAAAUUGUACAUUUCCAUGUAACCUGUACCAACAAAUGGAACAUCAGAAAUCCCUACUGUGUCACUUAUGAGUCAUUAACCCUAAGUAAGGGUUACUAUAUACUGAUUUGUAAAAAUAUAAUUAUAAUUCUUUUUGAAAUUUAAAUACAAAGACACAUUACAGUAUGUACCUUUUCUUGUUUAAUAUCUAUCCCCUAAUAUUAUUUAUUUUGUGAGGUUCAACUAUAUCUUGAAAACAAUUGACUUUCUCACUGCUAUAAACACAUUUUUAAAAGUCAUUUGGGUAGUUUCUACAAGAGAAAUUAUGAAUUGCAUUGAUAUGAAUAUUUUAGCAUGAAAAUGUUGGUUGACACAGAACUAAUACCUUCUUGAAUAUAAACAAGAAAUAGAAUUGAUAAAUUACAAGGUAAGUACAUAUUUAGAUUUGGAAGAUACUACUAAACAGUUUUUCCAACUUGUAUGUAUGAUGAUAAAGAGUUUUCCAAAGUACUUUCGUUCUCUUGAUUGAAAGCUGUUAGGAUUAUUUCAUAGAGAUUCCAAUAUCAUUGAAUUCUAAAGGGAAAAAGUGGAUUUCUUAUCCCUUUUCAAGAGUCUGUGCAAAAUUUUCUGCUUCAUUUCCAAGACCAAAAACAUGUCACAAGGGAUUAUUGGAAGAGGAAGACUACAAAAACAACCAGACUUUUCAUUUUUCUCAGGUCAAGAGCUGCAUCCUUGCCUUGUGUUAUCAUAGUUAAGAUGCUCUCUCACUUGACUCUGCAAAUACAUGGAAUAUGUACUCAAAAGGUGAUGAAACAUCUGAGUAUCUUAAACUGGCACCAUUACAAAAGUUCUACCACAGCAGGUACCCAGAUGUAGAUGGAAUCAUCUGAUAUGUUAGAAUCUUUCCAGCCUAUAUUUAUUCUUGCCUUAUUCAGCAAAUAUCCAAGAAUAGUGUUCAGUGUGUGUCACAGAAUGUGCCAGCAUGAUUAAAUUAUUAAUAUCAAAAAUUGAAAACAAUAAUAUGGCUUAAACUAAAAACAAUUUACUUAAAAUUUUAGAUAUACAAAUUCUGUUCCAAGUUUUUCCAGGAAAAAAUAUAAUUUAUAGUCUUUCCUAUAAUGCCUGCUCUCAAUAGAAGGGAGUUCAGCAGUGUAGGGCAAGUGGAUUAGAGGAAUCAAAGAGGGGAGAGAAAGAGAAGGUACCAGGAAAGAAGACUGAGUAAAUUCUGUCAUGUGCAUAUAUGCAAAUGGCUCAAAUUGCAAAUUCCCAAUAUUAUGUAAAAUUACAAUGCACAAAUAAAAACUUUAAAAAAGCAUACUUACUUUUAAAUAAAGUUUCCUGAGAGUUAUUUUCAUUGUCUUAUUUAAAAUACUAGCAAAGGAGAAGUAACUGUAAAUAAUACAAAAUGCUAAUACCUUUAUAAGGAUUAUUUAUAUUCUAGUUUAGAAUAUUGUUUGUUCCUUUACUGGUAAAUAGGUACAUCUUUGGUUUGGCACUUCACCUCAUGCCAGCCAGUAAAGCCAUGCUCUUAAUAUUCAGUAGUAAUCAAUAUUUCCAUUUCUUUUGUUUAUAUCAAUCUGAAAUUCAUUCUUCAGUAAAAGAUAUAAUUUGUUCUUUCCUUUU